rnacentral:rRNA from 1 species
AUUGAACGCUGGCGGCAUGCCUUACACAUGCAAGUCGAACGGCAGCACGGGGGCAACCCUGGUGGCGAGUGGCGAACGGGUGAGUAAUACAUCGGAAUGUACCCAGUAGUGGGGGAUAACUAGUCGAAAGAUUAGCUAAUACCGCAUACGCACUAUGGUGGAAAGCGGGGGAUCGCAAGACCUCGCGCUAUUGGAGCAGCCGAUGUCCGAUUAGGUAGUUGGUGGGGUAAAGGCCUACCAAGCCUGCGAUCGGUAACUGGUCUGAGAGGACGACCAGUCACACUGGGACUGAGACACGGCCCAGACUCCUACGGGAGGCAGCAGUGGGGAAUAUUGGGCAAUGGGCGAAAGCCUGACCCAGCGACGCCGCGUGAAGGAUGAAGGUCUUCGGAUUGUAAACUUCUUUGAUCAGGGAAGAAAGAAAUGACGGUACCUGAAAAACAAGCCACGGCUAACUACGUG